GCAGAUGUAGCUCAGUGGUAGAGUAUAACCUUGCCAAGGUUAGUGUCAUGGGUUCGAAUCCCAUUAUCUGCU
rnacentral:tRNA from 1 species